CAGAAUUUGCAGAGUGUUUAAC
rnacentral:snRNA from 1 species